AAUCAACGCUGGCGGCGUGCCUCAGACAUGCAAGUCGAACGAGAACCUCCCUUCGGGGAGGGGACAGUGGCGCACGGGUGAGUAACACGUGGGUAAUUUACCUUUGGGUGGGGGACAACAGCCGGAAACGGCUGCUAAUACCGCAUAAUGCAGCGGCUCGACAUCGAGACAGUUGUUAAAGCGGGGGAUCGCAAGACCUCGCGCCUGAAGAGAAGCCUGCGGCGGAUUAGCAGUUGGUAGGGUAAUGGCCUACCAAGGCGACGAUCUGUAACCGGCCUGAGAGGGCGGUCGGUCACACUGACACUGACAUACGGGUCAGACUCCUACGGGAGGCAGCAGUCGGGAAUUUUGGGCAAUGGGCGAAGCCUGACCCAGCAACGCCGCGUGAAGGAUGAAGCUUUUCGGAGUGUAAACUUCAAUAAGAAUGGGAAGAAUAAGUGCGGGAUAAUACCCUUCACGAUGACGGCACCAUUUGU
rnacentral:rRNA from 1 species